UUUCUUUUUCAGCUCAAGAAGAGGACACAACUGGAGUUCCUGUGAAAAGCAAGGGUUCUGGUGACACAGAAAACUUUACAAGUCCUGAUGUUGAAAUGAAUAGUCAGGUUGACAGUGUAAAUGACCCAACAGAGAGUCGCCAAGAAGAUUAACUAAUAGGGGCAACCAGAUGAAGCAAAGGGACAAAGAAAUGGGAGUAGAUGACAGUCCUCGGCAUCGCAGGCCUCCCUGGUCCUGGGGGAGGUGGAAGAAAACAGCAAGGCA